rnacentral:rRNA from 1 species
UACGUAGGUGGCAAGCGUUGUCCGGAGUUAUUGGGCGUAAAGCGCGCGCAGGCGGUGCGGUAAGUCUCUGGUGAAAGCGCUCGGCUUAACUGGGCGAGGGCCGGGGAGACUGCCACGCUGGAGGGGAGCAGAGGCGAGUGGAAUUCCGGGUGUAGUGGUGAAAUGCGUAGAGAUCCGGGGGAACACCAGUGGCGAAGGCGGCUCGCUGGGCUCUACCUGACGCUGAGGCGCGAAAGCGUGGGGAGCGAACCGG